UACAGGGGGUGCAAACGUUGCUCGGAAUCAUUGGGCGUAAAGCGCACGUAGGCGGUUUGUUAUGUCGGAUGUGAAAGCCCUUGGCUCAACUGAGGAAGUGCACCCGAAACUGAGUAGCUGGAGUACGAAAGAGGGUCGCGGAAUUCCCGGUGUAGAGGUGAAAUUCGUAGAUAUCGGGAGGAACACCGGUGGCGAAGGCGGCGACCUGGGUCGAUACUGACGCUGAGGCGCGAAAGCGUGGGGAGCAAACAGG
rnacentral:rRNA from 1 species